AUACUGUUUAUUUUCGUGCAGGGAGACGGGCAGUUAAUGAAGGCUGUAGAAAAUGAACUCAACAAGAGUAUAAAGCGUCAUUUAGAAAGUGCUCCUUUGACGUCAGACCUCGAUCUGAAGCCGAGUCUACUAAGUGAUGGGGACAGCGGUUCGUACGGUCCGCUGACCGCUUCAUCCAAGCAAUACAUGUCCGUUUUAAGGAAAAACUACUUCGUGUAAGAGACAGAUAGUGUGACUAUAAAUUAUACUCGACCUUUCUUCACUGUGUGGCAAAUAGCCUCAAAGGCUUAAAAGUGAAUUUCUUCAGUUAACAAUUUGUAAAAUAACCGACCAGUUCAUUUGGUUUGUAUUUUAAGCCACAUGAACAGAAUUUAUCUCAAAAGAAAAGAUGUUGAAAUAUCCUUUUCUGAGGAAAAAGGUCAUUUUUUAUGACUAAUUCAGAACAAAAUUAAGUUUAUAAAAAUCAUUUUUAGUACUUGUAUGUAUGUAUGUAUGUAUUUAUAUUAUAAUUGUAUCAUAACGCGCUUCAAAUGACUGCCAUUUUGAUACAUCAAGUAUUUAUUUCUCGAUUUUUCUUGCAUGCGAUCGCUAUAGUUGUCACAUUUAUUUUGUACCCGCAUACGGAACGAUUUUUGCACUCAAUAAAAAAAAAUAUAUUUUUCUAAAA